rnacentral:rRNA from 1 species
AACGAACGCUGGCGGCAUGCCUAACACAUGCAAGUCGAACGAGACCUUCGGGUCUUGUGGCGCACGGGUGCGUAACGCGUGGGAACCUGCCCUUAGGUUCGGACUACCUCCCCGAAAGGGGUGCUAAUACCGGAUAAUGUCUUCGGACCAAAGAUUUAUCGCCUUUGGAUGGGCCCGCGUUGGAUUAGCUAGUUGGUAGGGUAAUAGCCUACCACGGCGACGAUCCAUAGCUGGUCUGAGAGGAUGAUCAGCCACUCUGGGACUGAGACACGGCCCAGACUCCUACGGGAGGCAGCAGUGGGGAAUAUUGGACAAUGGGCGAAAGCCUGAACCAGCAAGGCCGCGUGAGUGAUGAAGGCCGUAGGGUUGUAAAGCGCUUUUAACCGGGAUGAUAAUGACAGUACCGGGAGAAUAAGCUCCGGCUAACUCCGUG